rnacentral:misc_RNA from 1 species
UAUCCGUAGGUGAACCUGCGGAUGGAUCAUUGAAAGAGAGAACAAAGCGAUGUGACUCACCUCACGUCGCUUUGUGACAUCUUCCAACCCUUUUCGUGAAUUCGUUUUCUCUUAUAACGGAGAGAUGAGCUGAUGUGUGUGUGAGUGUGAGCUCGGAAGAGUUCCCUUCCCCAUCAACUGCCCGGGAGCAGAGCUUUCUCUGCUCCCCUCUCUCCACUUUUUUUUUACCUCAAAAUAUUUACAAACUCUUUGUACUGAUUUUGAUGUACGAUCAAAAUGAGCGUCUGUUCGUACAGUCGUUCAUUUUGUUUUGCUAAAAACAAAACGUUUUAUGCACAACUCUUAGCAACGGAUAUCUUGGCUCCU